rnacentral:lncRNA from 1 species
GCGGGGGAGUUGCCCCAGCUCUUACUGUGACGCCAUACACUGCCAUUUCCCUUCUGGACAUGACCCUCUGUCUCCCACAGCCUCCUAUGGGUACAUCCGAGAGUCUCCCAAGAGGCUGCAGAACGUCAGAACAUCUCUGGAGCACUAUUCAGUGAGCAACAGGAGAGUUAAAGAUUUGUCCACCAGUGAGAACACGUGUGCAUUACAGUGGAGGAGCUUCUGAACGCCUUGCUUUACUCAGGGAUUCCAGAGUCCCAGCAGGGGCCGGAGGAAGAAGAACAGACUCCUAGAGAGGAAGAAACUUUGACCUCAAAAAUGAAGAAACAGAGGACCAAAAGGAAGCUCUUGACCAAGAUUCUUAGGCAGAUGGAGACAGGGUUGGGUUUAGCAUUGGUCACACAGCAGAUGGAGACAGGGCUGGGUCUAGUGUUGGUCACACAGCAGAUAGUCAGGUUGCCUGACCCGAAUUCCUGAGUUCUUCCCCCACACCAGCAACCUGGAACUUCUAGAAAAAGCCCAUGAACACGCAAAUGAACACAACAGUGAGAAACCUCUCUUGGCAAAACAUUAUAAGCUGGCUGAGACCUAGGAUUGACUAGGAUGUUAGGAAAAGGAUAGUCUCAUAUAUCCUACCGGUAGGAAGUUGGUUCAGCCACCAUGGAGAGCGACUUGCAGUAUCUGUAGUAUCUGUUAAAUUUUAAAAUGCACACACCCCGCCAGGAGCAGUGGUUCAGGCCUGUAAUCCCAGCACUUUGGGAGGCCAAGGCAGGCAGAUCACCUGAGGUCAGGAGUUUGAGACCAGCCUGGCCAACAUGGUGAAACCCCGUCUCUACUAAAAAUAUAAAAAUUAGCUGGGUGUGGUGGCACACACGCCUGUAGUUCCAGCUACUCGGGAGGCUGAGGCAGCAGAAUCACUUGAAUCCAGGAGGCGGAGGUUGCAGUGAGCCGAAAUCGCACCACUGCACUCCAGCCUGGGCAACAGAGCAAGACUCUGUCUCAAAAUAAAUAAAUAAAAUAAUAAAAUAAAAUGCACACACCCUAUGGCCCAGCAGACUCAUGUUUCCUUAUUAUCUCCCUCAGAAAAACAAACACUUAAGUGCACAUGGGGCCAAUUACAAAA